GAUGAACGCUGGCGGCGUGCCUAAUACAUGCAAGUCGAGCGAACGGACGAGAAGCUUGCUUCUCUGAUGUUAGCGGCGGACGGGUGAGUAACACGUGGAUAACCUACCUAUAAGACUGGGAUAACUUCGGGAAACCGGAGCUAAUACCGGAUAAUAUUUUGAACCGCAUGGUUCAAAAGUGAAAGACGGUCUUGCUGUCACUUAUAGAUGGAUCCGCGCUGCAUUAGCUAGUUGGUAAGGUAACGGCUUACCAAGGCAACGACGGAUAGCCGGCCUGAGAGGAUCAGCGGACACAGUGGGACUGAGAGAGGGCCAAGGCGCCUACGGUAGGGAGCGGUGGCGAAUAUUACACAAUGGUCGGAAGCGAGAAGCAGCAACGCAGGGUGCGGAGUGACGUCCUACGGGUCGUAAACAGAUGGCGCCUGCUACGAAGCGUGAGUGACGGUAAUUAAUAAAGAAGCACCCGCUAACUACGUG
rnacentral:rRNA from 1 species